rnacentral:rRNA from 1 species
CCAAUAGCGUAUAUUAAAGUUGCUGCAGUUAAAAAGCUCGUAGUUGAAUUUCGGGACCGAUAUGUCGGUCGUGCCUCAGUACGUACUGGUAUUUUCGGUUUCUCCCUUCUGACGAACCUUGAUGUCAUUAAUUUGGUGUCUUGGGGAAUCAGGACUGUUACUUUGAAAAAAUUAGAGUGUUUAAAGCAGGCUCACGCUUGAAUACAUUAGCAUGGAAUAAUGAAAUAGGACGUUUGAUUCUAUUUUGUUGGUUUCUAGGAUCGACGUAAUGAUUAAUAGGGAUAGUUGGGGGCAUUAGUAUUCAAUUGUCAGAGGUGAAAUUCUUGGAUUUAUUGAAGACUAACUACUGCGAAAGCAUUUGCCAAGGAUGUUUUCAUUAAUCAAGAACGAAAGUUAAGGGAUCGAAGACGAUCAGAUACCGUCGUAGUCUUAACCAUAAACUAUGCCGACUAGGGAUCGGAUGAUGUUAAUUUUUUAAUGACUCAUUCGGCGCCUUACG